CGAACGAGAGAAUUGCUAGCUUGCUAAUAAUUCUCUAGUGGCGCACGGGUGAGUAACACGUGCGUAACCUGCCCCCGAGAGCGGGAUAGCCCUGGGAAACUGGGAUUAAUACCGCAUAGUAUCGAAAGAUUAAAGCAGCAAUGCGCUUGGGGAUGGGCUCGCGGCCUAUUAGUUAGUUGGUGAGGUAACGGCUCACCAAGGCGAUGACGGGUAGCCGGUCUGAGAGGAUGUCCGGCCACACUGGAACUGAGACACGGUCCAGACACCUACGGGUGGCAGCAGUCGAGAAUCAUUCACAAUGGGGGAAACCCUGAUGGUGCGACGCCGCGUGGGGGAAUGAAGGUCUUCGGAUUGUAAACCCCUGUCAUGUGGGAGCAAAUUAAAAAGAUAAUACCACAAGAGGAAGAGACGGCUAACUCUGUGCCAGCAGCCGCGGUAAUACAGAGGUCUCAAGCGUUGUUCGGAAUCACUGGGCGUAAAGCGUGCGUAGGCUGUUUCGUAAGUCGUGUGUGAAAGGCGCGGGCUCAACCCGCGGACGGCACAUGAUACUGCGAGACUAGAGUAAUGGAGGGGGAACCGGAAUUCUCGGUGUAGCAGUGAAAUGCGUAGAUAUCGAGAGGAACACUCGUGGCGAAGGCGGGUUCCUGGACAUUAACUGACGCUGAGGCACGAAGGCCAGGGGAGCGAAAGGGAUUAGAUACCCCUGUAGUCCUGGCAGUAAACGGUGCACGCUUGGUGUGCGGGGAAUCGACCCCCUGCGUGCCGGAGCUAACGCGUUAAGCGUGCCGCCUGGGGAGUACGGUCGCAAGAUUAAAACUCAAAGAAAUUGACGGGGACCCGCACAAGCGGUGGAGUAUGUGGCUUAAUUCGAUGCAACGCGAAGAACCUUACCUGGGCUUGACAUGUAAUGAACAACAUGUGAAAGCAUGCGACUCUUCGGAGGCGUUACACAGGUGCUGCAUGGCCGUCGUCAGCUCGUGUCGUGAGAUGUUUGGUUAAGUCCAGCAACGAGCGCAACCCCUGUUGCCAGUUACCAGCACGUGAAGGUGGGGACUCUGGCGAGACUGCCCAGAUCAACUGGGAGGAAGGUGGAGACGACGUCAGGUCAGUAUGGCCCUUAUGCCCAGGGCUGCACACGUACUACAAUGCCCAGUACAGAGGGGGCCGAAGCCGCGAGGCGGAGGAAAUCCUAAAAACUGGGCCCA
rnacentral:rRNA from 1 species